GGUCAAGCGAACAAGUGCAUGUGGUGGAUGCCUUGGCGAUCACAGGCGAUGAAGGACGCGGUAGCCUGCGAAAAGCUACGGGGAGCUGGCAAACGAGCUUUGAUCCGUAGAUGUCCGAAUGGGGAAACCCACUCCUUUUGGAGUAUCCAUGGCUGAAUACAUAGGCCAUGCGAAGCGAACGCGGUGAACUGAAACAUCUAAGUAACCGCAGGAAAAGAAAUCAACCGAGAUUCCCAAAGUAGUGGCGAGCGAAAUGGGAUGAGCCUUGUACUCUUUAUUUGUAUUGUUAGCCGAACGCUCUGGAAAGUGCGGCCAUAGCAGGUGAUAGCCCUGUAGGCGAAAACAGUAUGAAAGAACUAGGUGUACGACAAGUAGGGCGGGACACGUGAAAUCCUGUCUGAAGAUGGGGGGACCAUCCUCCAAGGCUAAAUACUCGUGAUCGACCGAUAGUGAACCAGUACCGUGAGGGAAAGGCGAAAAGAACCCCGGGAGGGGAGUGAAAUAGAUCCUGAAACCGCAUGCAUACAAACAGUCGGAGCCUCG
rnacentral:rRNA from 1 species